rnacentral:rRNA from 1 species
ACCGGGAUUGCCUCAGUAACGGCGAGUGAAGCGGCAAGAGCUCAAAUUUGAAAUCUGGCCCCCCUGGGGGUCCGAGUUGUAAUUUGGAGAGGAUGCUUCGGGUACGGUGCCCAUCUAAGUGCCCUGGAACGGGCGGUCAUAGAGGGUGAGAAUCCCGUAUGGGAUGGGCGGCCGUGCCCGUGUGAAGCUCCUUCGACGAGUCGAGUUGUUUGGGAAUGCAGCUCUAAGCGGGUGGUAAAUUUCAUCUAAAGCUAAAUACUGGCCGGAGACCGAUAGCGCACAAGUAGAGUGAUCGAAAGAUGAAAAGCACUUUGAAAAGAGAGUUAAACAGCACGUGAAAUUGUUGAAAGGGAAGCGUUGGCCACCAGACGCGCCCGGGAGGGUUCAGCCGGCACUUGUGCCGGUGUACUCCCCCCCGGGUGGGCCAGCAUCGGUUUGGGCGGUCGCUGAAAGGCCCCGGGAAUGUAGCACCCUCCGGGGUGCCUUAUAGCCCGGGGUGUCAUGCGGCCCGCCUGGACCGAGGCCCGCGCUUCGGCGAGGAUGCUGGCGUAAUGGUGGUCAACGGCCCGUCUUGAAACACGGACCAAGGAGUCUAACAUCUAUGCGAGUGUUCGGGUGUCAAACCCGUCCGCGCAGUGAAAGCGAACGCAGGUGGGAACCCCUUCCGGGGUGCACCAUCGACCGAUCCUGAUGUCUUCGGAUGGAUUUGAGUAAGAGCAUAGCUGUUGGGACCCGAAAGAUGGUGAACUAUGCCUGAAUAGGGCGAAGCCAGAGGAAACUCUGGUGGAGGCUCGCAGCGGUUCUGACGUGCAAAUCGAUCGUCAAAUUUGGGUACAGGGGCGAAAGACUAAUCGAACCAUCUGGUAGCUGG